GACGAACGCUGGCGGCGUGCCUAAUACAUGCAAGUCGAGCGAAGUUUUUCUGGUGCUUGCACUAGAAAAACUUAGCGGCGAACGGGUGAGUAACACGUAAAGAACCUGCCUCAUAGACUGGGACAACUAUUGGAAACGAUAGCUAAUACCGGAUAACAGUAUUUCUCGCAUGAGAGAUAUUUAAAAGUUGGUUAUGCUAACACUAUGAGAUGGCUUUGCGGUGCAUUAGCUAGUUGGUGGGGUAAAGGCCCACCAAGGCGACGAUGCAUAGCCGACCUGAGAGGGUGAUCGGCCACACUGGGACUGAGACACGGCCCAGACUCCUACGGGGAGGGCAGCAGUAGGGAAAUUCUUUCCCGCAAAUGGGGCGAAAAAGCCCUGGACGGGAGCCAACCGCCCGGCGUAAAGUGAAAG
rnacentral:rRNA from 1 species